AAUACAUCAUGUUUCUUUAAUAAUUCCUGCAAUCAAACUCAAAAGCAAACAACAAUGGUCAAUGUCAUUUAUGUUGGGGAUUUGUACUGCCCAGCGGAAGGUGACUGGGGAAACACCAAGGUUGAUUUCACUGCAGUGAAGAAAUGCAGUAAACAGGCUGGAAUAAGAAGGCGAAAGUGUAUAGAGGAAGAUGGGAAAGGGGUUUGGAAAGACGAAGUGUCAGAAUGUGUUGAACAGGAGCUCAGCAAUGUGCUGGAAUCUGCUGAAAUUAGUGACAUUGGACUCGGUGAAUUGGCUUCAAAUGCUGCAAUUGUAUUUAACCGCUUUGAGAGUGUCACCAAGACAUCAAAAUUACCUGGUUAUGCCAACAUAAACAUAUCAGUCAAUGUACUUAGCACCAUGAAGGAGAAGUUAUCGAGAACAAAUCUGACAAAUCAAUCAGCAAUUGAAGAUUUUCUGUUCUCCUCCAGUCAUCUGCUGAACGAGAGUCUUGCAAGCUCAUGGAACGCAACGACUCCUGAGGGCAACUCGUCUUUUCUGGCUGAGAAUUACUUGCUUGCGGUGGAGAAAUUGAUUGAAAGAUCAGAGAUCAUAGGAAAUCCUAGAAGGAAAAAUCUGGAAGUGGAUGUGUGCAAUACCACCAAAUGUAACAUGACUGUUUUUGAUGCCAAAGUUUCUCUUAAAGAGAAAGGGGUAGUGAAAACAGCUGGAUUCCAAAACCUGCAAAACUAUUUGCCCUACGACAACAAAUCAAUUCUCAACAGUAUCAUUGUGUCUACAACUGCAGAAACCAAAACCAACAUUUCGAUUACGAUUGACUUUACGCUGCUCAAGCCAAGGCCUCGCAAUGUUAUGUUACACUGUGUGUUUUGGAACACCAACAUUAAAAACUGGUCAACAGAUGGAUGUGAAUGGCAAGGUGCUGACGAGGUGGGCCGCUGCGUUUGUACACAUCUCUCCUCGUUUUCCAUUCUGAUGUCCAAGGAGCCCAUUGAAGUCCCUGGUUUAACUUACUUAACCUAUGCAGCUCUGUCAGUAUCAGUGGUGUCACUCAUCAUUUCACUUGUGAUAGAACUGAUUGUCUGGAGCGAAGUGGUCAAGACGAGCACUUUAUAUUUACGCCACACUGCCCAUGUGAAUAUUUCUCUGUGCUUGCUGAUCGCUGACCUCUGCUUUUUGGCGUCUUCCCAACCGAAGGGUAUUUCAGAGCUCUGGUGUCGAACCUCCGCCGUGUUGAAGCAUUUCUGCUACCUGGCCAUGUUCUUUUGGAUGUUUUGUUUGAGCGCCACACUUCUUCACCAGGCAGUCUUUUUGUUCCACAAGGUGAGCAAGAAAAACUACCUGAGGUUCUCCUUGGUCAUAGGCUACGUUUGCCCCCUGCUCAUAGUUUUCAUCACGUUCGUUACUAACGACGGCGGAAGUGAGGGGAAGUACUUCUUAAAAGAGUCCUGCUGGCUGGUUUACGACGGAAUGUUCAAGGGCACCAUUUUUACGUUCAUCAUUCCAGUUGGAGCCAUUGUCUUCAUCAAUGUGUUCUCGAUGCUCGUGGUUAUCAUGAAGCUCAUAAGCCACCACAGUAUCAGUGAAGUACACAAGAAAAAUGACAUCUCACCAGAGAAGGAGAAAACAGCGGCCAAAAUUGUCGUGAGGUCAGUUAUCCUCCUGACCCCCAUCUUCGGUGUGACGUGGAUCUUUGGAUUUGCCAUUUUGAUCAUUGAUCUUACAGAAGGAACAAUAGCUUUAGCCGUCAAUUACAUCUUUACCGCGCUCAACGGAUUCCAGGUAGGGCCAAAAGGAUUUUUGCAAUUUGACAAAUAAACAAGUUGGCGUAUUUUUGAUACAACUCUCUUUUGAUUCCAGGGUUUUUUCAUUUUGUUGACAACAUGCCUUGGCGACAGAAUGACCCGUGAGGCUCUACGGAAGUACUUACGGAAGAAAGCUCCAGCAUCCAGUGUCAGCGAGAGCACCACCAAAUCGGAGUUAACAUGGAAG